rnacentral:tRNA from 1 species
GGUCUUGUAGCUCAAUUGGUUAGAUUGUCGGUCUUAUCAACCGCAGGUUGAGGGUUCAAGCCCCUCCGAGACCA